GCCUGAGUGGCUCAGUCAGUUAAGUGUCUGACUUUGGUUCAGGUCAUGAUCUUGCAGUCCAUGAGUUCAAGCCCCAUAUCGGGCU
rnacentral:tRNA from 1 species